AAGGUCUUCUAUGUAUAGAAGACCAAUAGAAGGUCUUCUAUGUAUAGAAGGCCUAUAGAAGGUCUUUUAUGUAUAGAAGACCUAUAGAAGGUCUUCUAUGUAUAGAAGACCUAUAGAA